rnacentral:rRNA from 1 species
CGGGGGGAGCAAGCGUUGUUCGGAUUUACUGGGCGUAAAGGGCGCGUAGGCGGCCACCGCAAGUCGACUGUGAAAUCUCCGGGCUUAACCCGGAAAGGUCAGCCGAUACUGCGGGGCUAGAGUGCAGAAGGGGCAACUGGAAUUCUCGGUGUAGCGGUGAAAUGCGUAGAUAUCGAGAGGAACACCUGUGGCGAAGGCGGGUUGCUGGGCUGACACUGACGCUGAUGCGCGAAAGCUAGGGGAGCGAACGGGAUUAGAUACCCCGGUAGUCCUAGCCUUAAACGAUGAAUGCUUGGUGUCUGGGGUUUUAUAGUCCCCGGGUGCCGUCGCUAACGCUUUAAGCAUUCCGCCUGGGGAGUACGGUCGCAAGACUG